GCUCUGGUGGUCUAGUGGUAUGAUUCUCGCUUAGGGUGCGAGAGGUCCCGCGUUCAAUCCGCGGCUAGAGCC
rnacentral:tRNA from 5 species